rnacentral:rRNA from 1 species
AGCUUGCUGGGCGGAUUAGUGGCGAACGGGUGAGUAAUACGUGAGUAACCUGCCCUUGACUCUGGGAUAAGCCUGGGAAACUGGGUCUAAUACUGGAUACUACCGUCCACCGCAUGGUGGGUGGUGGAAAGGGUUUUACUGGUUUUGGAUGGGCUCACGGCCUAUCAGCUUGUUGGUGGGGUAAUGGCUCACCAAGGCGACGACGGGUAGCCGGCCUGAGAGGGUGACCGGCCACACUGGGACUGAGACACGGCCCAGACUCCUACGGGAGGCAGCAGUGGGGAAUAUUGCACAAUGGGCGGAAGCCUGAUGCAGCGACGCCGCGUGAGGGAUGACGGCCUUCGGGUUGUAAACCUCUUUCAGUAGGGAAGAAGCGAGAGUGACGGUACCUGCAGAAGAAGCGCCGGCUAACUACGUGCCAGCAGCCGCGGUAAUACGUAGGGCGCAAGCGUUGUCCGGAAUUAUUGGGCGUAAAGAGCUCGUAGGCGGUUUGUCGCGUCUGCUGUGAAAGCCCGGGGCUCAACCCCGGGUCUGCAGUGGGUACGGGCAGACUAGAGUGCAGUAGGGGAGACUGGAAUUCCUGGUGUAGCGGUGAAAUGCGCAGAUAUCAGGAGGAACACCGAUGGCGAAGGCAGGUCUCUGGGCUGUUACUGACGCUGAGGAGCGAAAGCAUGGGGAGCGAACAGGAUUAGAUACCCUGGUAGUCCAUGCCGUAAACGUUGGGCACUAGGUGUGGGGGACAUUCCACGUUUUCCGCGCCGUAGCUAACGCAUUAAGUGCCCCGCCUGGGGAGUACGGCCGCAAGGCUAAAACUCAAAGGAAUUGACGGGGGCCCGCACAAGCGGCGGAGCAUGCGGAUUAAUUCGAUGCAACGCGAAGAACCUUACCAAGGCUUGACAUUCACCGGACCGCCCCAGAGAUGGGGUUUCCCUUCGGGGCUGGUGGACAGGUGGUGCAUGGUUGUCGUCAGCUCGUGUCGUGAGAUGUUGGGUUAAGUCCCGCAACGAGCGCAACCCUCGUUCUAUGUUGCCAGCACGUGAUGGUGGGGACUCAUAGGAGACUGCCGGGGUCAACUCGGAGGAAGGUGGGGAUGACGUCAAAUCAUCAUGCCCCUUAUGUCUUGGGCUUCACGCAUGCUACAAUGGCCGGUACAAAGGGUUGCGAUACUGUGAGGUGGAGCUAAUCCCAAAAAGCCGGUCUCAGUUCGGAUUGAGGUCUGCAACUCGACCUCAUGAAGUCGGAGUCGCUAGUAAUCGCAGAUCAGCAACGCUGCGGUGAAUACGUUCCCGGGCCUUGUACACACCGCCCGUCAAGUCACGAAAGUUGGUAACACCCGAAGCCGGUGGCCUA